UGCAGGAUUACUCGCGAAGAACUCCUGUACCUCCUGUGGAUUGAAAAAUUCCUCCUUGCUCCGCGCGGGCAGCCGGCGGGAAGAUGGAGAUUCCAUCCGCCUCUUCCUCGGAGCCGGAGGCGGCACCAUUGCCGCCAAAAUCUUCGCUUCCGCCGCCUUUGGCGUCCGGCACUCCACCUCCUCCACCUCUUCGUUAGCCGCCAUUGCCCUCACUUCCACCUCAAGCUCCAUCAGUAGUCGCUAUAAUUGAUCCAACGGGUUGCUGAAUAUCCCUUCAGAUCUAGCUAGUAUGCUAUACUGUCCAACUUAUGCCCUUUUUCAAAUGAAAUGGAAGAAAGAAACAGGUAAAUGGCUCAAUUCGAAGUAUUCGAUGGACGAGAGGAAGACCUGUGGAGGUGAUAAGGAUCGAAAGCUCGCACUGUAUUUAUUGUUCUGGAAAUUCGGAGAGUGAAAAGUUGAGGAGGAGGAGCAUUUAGAUAGGGUAGAAUAUGGUGUCGGAGCCGCGCUUGGCAUGAGAAGCGAAUAAUCCUGAUCGCCGCUGGAGAAUCUUCGCCAUUUUUCUCUGACACUCGAAGAUCCGCUAAGAAGCCAAGGACAGAGGUUUGUCCUCUGGACCGUUAUGGGAGUGGGAAGCCGGCGUGAAAGAGCUGAAGACCGAACUCAAACUCAUGUGAACGACAAGGUGAAUCUACGGGGAAUGGUGGGCCUUCCCACCAAAUUUAAAAAGGCAUAUUAUGGUUGGAAUCUAUGAUACUGUGGUCGAGAGUCUUCAUACCAUACACUUUAAAAAUCAUAAGUAGGCACUCAAUACAUGCACGAAAAUGAGCAUAGCUUAUAACCGUUCAGGACAAUGGAUGAAGUAAAAUUAUAAUGCUUAUAAUCUGUAAGAAUGAGAUGCUACAAAUAGAAUAAAGGUCCCCUACAGCAUCAUGCAUCAAGUACUGCUCAUGCUCUGGGCUUGUCGAUUCAAACCAUUGGCCCCUCAAUUCAAGAAAAUUAUUAGGUGCGGAGACCGGGCGUAGAGAUACGUCCGGACAUCCACUUAAAAUUUGACACGUAGAGUGCACUUUGAUUGAACUUUUAAUUUUGUGCGCUUUUCCUGCACUUUAGUUGCGCUUUGACAGCUCUUUUGUUACGUUUUUUUCUGCGCUUUGACUGUGCUUUAUCUGCACGUUAAUUGUGCUUUGACUGCUCUUUUGUUACGCUUUGACUAUGUUUUAUUUGCAUUUUAUCUGCACUUUACCUGCGCUUUUGGUGCGCUUGGCUUAAAGUUCCGUGGACAUAUUAAAUAUAUAAAGUAAAAAAUAAAUCCAAUGUGUCCACUCCACAUGUCAACAUUUUAUUGGAGUCCGGAUGUACCUCUACGUCUAAUCUCCGCACCUAAUAAUUUUCCCAUUCGAUGAGAUUGAAACCUCCUUCCAGCAAUUCCACUGUAUGAGCUGGGUGGAAUUGCUAGCUAGUCUUUUGCAAGAUGCCUAAUGAUGCACUUAUUCAUGGUCCUCACCUUAAUCAUCUCUCUCUCUCUCUCUCUCUCUCUCUCUCUCUGGUUUGGGACCUAAUGCCAUACUGUUCUUUGUGGCCCACUCCUUUUGCUGCUUUAUUCUGAUUUGGCGUCUGCACUGUGUAUGGAGAUGUUUUAAGCCACAAGUAGAGGCUUAAUGGUGAAUUAAUUAAAAGUCUUUUCCUGGGCCUGCUUAACUGUUAAUCUGUCCUUUACUUUUGGUUCUUUCCUUCCUUUAAUCAAUUCAGUUCAUCCCUAAUAAUGCAUUGUAAGCCUAUUCUUUUUAAAUAAUUAUCGACCACCGAUCAUUUUGGUUUGAUGGCUUUUGCCUCUCCUUCCUAUCUGAUGAGACAAUCAAGCAAAGCCACUCAGCCUUUAUCUCUCACUUCACAAUUAGUGUCGGCAAGAAAUUAUCAUUAUUUUCUUAUAUCCAUUUUCUUACUGAAAAUAGUCUAUAUAUCUAUAUAGAUACAGUCAUAGAGAGAGAGAGAGAUCUAGAGAGAGAGAGCAAAAGCUUGCUUAUAAUUGCAUUAAAUUAAAAUGCUAUUGAACUUUUUUUAUUGUCUUAUGAUUUUUUUAGAAUUAAAUUGCCAUUAUGUAGAAGGGUUCCAUCACAUCUAUUCCACUAAUCAAAAGCUAAAAAUUCUUUCAUCUCAUAACUUUUCUUCUUUUUUCCUCUUCAUCUCAUGGUCUGGCUAUUGAUGAUUGUUGAGGAGCAAAACAAGCAAGACUAAACUCUGAUGUGACUUCUUCAACAUGCUAAAUAAUCAUGCAAGUGAAAAAUUACCUUUUAAUUCAUUCAAGCUAUUUUAAGCUGGGGUUGUUAUAGUAAAUGCUCCCAUCGACCAAGGAAAAUAUUUAAGUGAGAGAUUCUUUGAGCUCAAAGCCUAUAAGCUAUGGUCAUGGAUCUUAUGCAAAUUAUAUAGCACACUACUAAUUACUAAACAAUCACAUAAGUUUGUAAUAUGAUAAAAGAAGCCAACAAGUGUAAUCACACAAAUUUAUGAUGGUGUUAAGUAUAAGGUUAAGAAAACGAGCAAGUAAUAGAAUUGUUUAGUAUGUUGGUGUUAAUUAAUUUCAUUGUACAUGCUUAUGAGGUUUAUGCAAUUCAUCAUCAAAUUAGUUUAUAUCUAGACCUGAACACCGAUGUUUCUCAGGAUUUCACUGUCUUUACUUAGGCUUCGUUUGUGAUGGUUUUCUUGCCGCUUCUUAAAGCAGCUUUUUAGUACAUUUUUGUACUAAAAAUCUGUUUCAAAAAGCCUUAAGAAAGCUGUCUCAAAUGAAGCGUUAUUCGCGUAGGAGCUAGUGGAGAAACUAUUACACUUUCUUUUUAAAGGGAGAUGUUACCCACCUCUUGAUAUGAUGAGAGGACCACAACUCAAGCUCUACAAUUUAGAGUUUCAGACUUGACAAAUGUAAGAUUGUUCCAUAAAAUGUCAAUCCAAAACAUUUUAAGGCUUUUGUUGUGAUCUAAGGCUAUCAUCUAAUAAUAUAAUAACACAAUCACUACUUUUAGAUUGAACAAAAUACAAUGUGAAGUAUUGUAAAAAAUAUUAUAGAAAUUGAGAAAGGUAUCACCAAAUGAAGAAUUCAUUAAUUCUUGCUUUGAUGAAUACUUGAAUAUUCUUUAAUAAAUGCUUACAUACUAGUAUUAAUUACAAGCUAAUAGAAAAUGCAUUGGAGAUUAAACUAAAUUGUAUAAGCUUGAUAACACCAUUUGACUAUCACUUGGCUUACAACAAUUAAUUUAAGCUAAGUUCUCAAAAAUAAGCUAAGCAUUCCUUAACAUGUGAUAAUGAAGCUAAAAAAAAAUUGCUAGAGAUAUAGUCAUUUGAAUUUAUAAUAUUUGAAGAUCUAAGUAUGCUACGAAGAACCAAAAAAAAGUUCUCAUGAAAUUAAGUUAAUUUUCAU